rnacentral:tRNA from 1 species
GGCUAAGGCUGAAUGUCAGAGCGCUUGCUUGGCAUGCAUGAGGUCCUGGGUUCCAUCCCCAGCACGGCCA